rnacentral:rRNA from 1 species
AUUGAACGCUGGCGGCAGGCCUAACACAUGCAAGUCGAGCGGAUGAAGGGAGCUUGCUCCUGGAUUCAGCGGCGGACGGGUGAGUAAUGCCUAGGAAUCUGCCUGGUAGUGGGGGAUAACGUCCGGAAACGGGCGCUAAUACCGCAUACGUCCUGAGGGAGAAAGUGGGGGAUCUUCGGACCUCACGCUAUCAGAUGAGCCUAGGUCGGAUUAGCUAGUUGGUGGGGUAAAGGCCUACCAAGGCGACGAUCCGUAACUGGUCUGAGAGGAUGAUCAGUCAACUGGGAACGGGAAACCGGCCAAAGCCCCAAGGGGAGGCAGGAGGGGGGAAUAUGGGACAAGGGGCGAAAGCCUGACCCAGCCAGGCGGGGGGGGGGAAGAAGGUCUCGGGAUGUGAAAGCCUUUUAAGGGGGGAGGAAGGGAAGUAAGUUAAAACCUGGCUUUUUGGAGGUGACCAAAAGAAGAAGCACCGGCAACCUCCGU